CAGCAGCCGCGGGAACACGAAGGGGGCUAGCGUUGCUCGGAAUGGCUGGGCGUAAAGGGCGCGUAGGCGGCAUGUACAGUCAGAAGUGAAAUUCCUGGGCUCAACCUGGGGACUGCUUUUGAUACGUGCAGGCUAGAGUGAGGAAGAGGGUUGUGGAAUUUCCAGUGUAGAGGUGAAAUUCGUAGAUAUUGGAAAGAACACCGGUGGCGAAGGCGGCAACCUGGUCCUUUACUGACGCUGAGGCGCGAAAGCGUGGGGAGCAAACAGGAUUAGAUACCCCUGUAGUCCCUGUCUCUUAUAA
rnacentral:rRNA from 1 species